AGUGAACGCUGGCGGUAGGCCUAACACAUGCAAGUCGAACGGCAGCACAGUAAGAGCUUGCUCUUACGGGUGGCGAGUGGCGGACGGGUGAGGAAUACAUCGGAAUCUACCUUUUCGUGGGGGAUAACGUAGGGAAACUUACGCUACUACCGCAUACGACCUACGGGUGAAAGCAGGGGAUCUUCGGACCUUGCGCGAUUGAAUGAGCCGAUGUCGGAUUAGCUAGUUGGCGGGGUAAAGGCCCACCAAGGCGACGAUCCGUAGCUGGUCUGAGAGGAUGAUCAGCCACACUGGAACUGAGACACGGUCCAGACUCAUACGGGAGGCAGCAGUGGGGAAUAUUGGACAAUGGGCGCAAGCCUGAUCCAGCCAUACCGCGUGGGUGAAGAAGGCCUUCGGGUUGUAAAGCCCUUUUGUUGGGAAAGAAAAGCAGCAGGUUAAUACCCCGCUGUUCUGACGGUACCCAAAGAAUAAGCACCGGCUAACUUCGUG
rnacentral:rRNA from 1 species